GAAGAGUUAUCAUCUCGAGAAC
rnacentral:snRNA from 1 species